rnacentral:rRNA from 1 species
UUAAGCAUAUCAAUAAGCGGAGGAAAAGAAACUAACAAGGAUUCCCCUAGUAACUGCGAGUGAAGCGGGAAAAGCUCAAAUUUGAAAUCUGGCAGGUCUUGAACUUGUCCGAGUUGUAAUCUAGAGAAGUGUUACCUGUGCUGGACCGUGUACAAGUCUCCUGGAAUGGAGCGUCACAGAGGGUGAGAAUCCCGUCUUUGACACGGACUGCCUGCACGUUAUGGUGCGCUCUCAAAGAGUCGAGUUGUUUGGGAAUGCAGCUCAAAAUGGGUGGUAAAUGCCAUCUAAAGCUAAAUAUUGGCGAGAGACCGAUAGCGAACAAGUACCGUGAGGGAAAGAUGAAAAGUACUUUGGAAAGAGAGUUAAACAGUACGUGAAAUUGCUGAAAGGGAAACGCUUGAAGUCAGUCGCGUUGGCUGGAAAUCAACCUUGCUUUUGCUUGGUGUACUUUCUGGUUGACGGGUCAGCAUCAAUUUUGACYGCUGGAUAAAGUCUUUGGGAAUGUGGCAUCUUAGGAUGUGUUAUAGCCCAUUGUCGCAUACAACGGUUGGGAUUGAGGAACUCAGCAUGCCCGCAAGGGACAGGUUUUUGACCAUGUUUUCGUGCUUAGGAUGCUGGCAUAAUGGCUUUAAUCGACCCGUCUUGAAACACGGACCAAGGAGUCUAACAUGCCUGCGAGUGUUUGGGUGGAAAACCCAUACGCGCAAUGAAAGUGAAAGUUGAGAUCCCCCCUCAGGGGAGCAUUGACGCCCGGACCAGACCUUCUGUGACGGAUCCGCGGUAGAGCAUGUAUGUUGGGACCCGAAAGAUGGUGAACUAUGCCUGAAUAGGGUGAAGCCAGAGGAAACUCUGGUGGAGGCUCGUAGCGAUUCUGACGUGCAAAUCGAUCGUCAAAUUUGGGUAUAGGGGCGAAAGACUAAUCGAACCAUCUAGUAGCUGGUUCCUGCC